CAUUUGUUCAGCUGUCAAUCAAAGUAACGUGGGGUGGCGAGCAGCGGCUGCUUCUGUCGCUGAUGCCCUGGCUGCAUCUUUAGAAGCAGGUUUCGGCGGUGAUGGCGGCGGCGGUGAGCCUGCAGGCCGGUCCGAAGACGCCCUCCGAGGCUCGUCUCCCGCCCGACGCAGAGCCCGGGCUGGGCGGCCGCGCCGGGGUGCGCACUAAUUAGGGGCCGAUGUCUCGGUAAAGAGACAAGCUCGGCCUUGUGCAACGCGCCGAAACCCCUGUUGAGACAAGAGAGGGAGGAUCGCGCUGAUCCCACUACGUGCGGUUCACAUCCAUUUUACGCGCUGCUGGAGUCGGCAUAAUUUUCCGCGUGAGCGCGGACGCGGUCGGCCCGGUUUAGAGCCACAGCCGGGAGGCGUGCACUGGGCUGUUCCCGGGGCCUCCCGGCCGGCCAACCGACUCUAACGUUCCCUUUCUUGGGAGACACAAGUCAAGUUCGUCCCCGGUUAAAAGAGGACCCAAGAUGGCCUGGAGAGGAGGGUCAGGGUCCGGGGGAGGCAGCCCGCGGCAGUUUGGGGGCUUAAAGGGUAUGCGGGAGCUAGCAAGCUGCCCUAAGAAACCUCUGACCUGUGGGCAAUCAGAGUAAUUCGGAAAAAGUCAAGCAGGAUUAUAGCCGUGGUCGCUGCGUUUGGGACAUUUAUUCCUGAGACCCACUCUGAGUACCGACUAGUACGGGGCUGUUGGUUCAACAAAAGUGGGAAAACCGGUUUUUUUUUUUCCUAAUGAUGACGUUUUCCUUAGAAAAGAAAAUCAAUAGCUUAAACUCAAGGCGUUCUUGUGGGGCUCCUGUGCACUGGCCACUGAAGACACUGGGGCAAUGGCCUUCCUAAAAAUCCACAACUGUAGCUCAUAGAAUGCUUCCGUUCUGCAGACAAUUUUCUUCAUUUCCAAAACAAGACGACGAAGGACUUGCCUCUAUCCUAUACUCAACUAUGAAAAUGUGGCCAAUUCCAAUAAAGACGGAAUUUUGACGUGAGGAGAUAAAAAGGGAAAAAAAUCUCGCUGAGAGAACCGGUUCAUCAAUAGAGGGCCCUGGAGAGAUUCCAAGACAAAGAAGUUUGCCUCCUAGUCCAGUGUGUGUGCAGGGUCAUUCCCCAAAGAACAAGGAGCAAAAGGGAGUAGCGGCCAGCAACUUCCCCCAAUCUACAGUCAGGUGGCUUUGGAGGAAGAGUCUGAGCAUAUACCCCCAUCAACAGAUCCUCCUAUCACUGCACAAAAUGCAUUUCCAGCAGAUGCUGAUGUGUGGACUUCUGACCAGCCACAGAAAGCAGGUUUCAAGCUGGAAUCAUCUGCUUCUCAGCUGGUUACAAGAGUUUUCUCCAGCAAGUUCCAGUUCUAAAUCCGCGAGUCUCCCAGGGUCUUGCAGGAAUAAUUCCUUUUCCGCAGAGGGUGGAGGUAGGGGGUGUUCUGUCUCAGUACUAGGGGCAGUUGCUCCACUUUAUACCUGUUUUGUAUGUCUCGGGUCCUACAUUGCACACACCCAUACACAAAAUAGCUAUAGUUUUAAAAAUCCUGAAAAUAUAACCAAAAAUUAAUCCAAAAUCAAAUGUAUAAUGUAUCAAAGGUAUUUCUGGCCCAGUGUUCCACUGCAGGACUGUAGCAUUGACUCUGAACACACAAGUCCAUGCUGCCAUGCUAUGCAGCAUCCCUGAAAGACGACUGGAACACCUUCGCUCGGAGUCUAGACUACCGUAAGUUAUGAAUUUCAGUGUUUGUAGUGUACGUACAACGUUUUCCGCUCUUAUGGAAAAAUAAUUUAAUUAUAGAAAACAGAUUUUUAAUAUUUUCCUACCACUCUUCUUCUGCGUGUAAGUAUCAAAUUAGUAUGUCUUUGGAUAGGAUUGUGUUAGAAUGUUUGAUUUUUAAAAUUGCUGUUUGAAUUGCUGACUUGAGCUUCAUGAAAAAAAAAUUAUUCAGUGAAUUUUGGCUUGAGAUUAGGACAGAAUCUCCAACAAUUUCCAAGGUGGCCCUAAACAUUCUUCUGCCAUUUGGUUCUGUGUGCUUAUGCGAAGUGGUGCUUUCUGAAUUGGUGAUUCUCUUCGUGGUGUCUCUCAGCUCUGAAAAUGCUGCCAUGUCCGGCAGCAGCAUCAGGUAUUCAGCUGGGAUUUCACUCUUGGUGUGAAAAUAAAGACGCACUUUCAUCUCAUUAGUAUGCAAAUGUCCUUUUCAUCUUUAAUGAUUAACUUACAAACACAUCAAUGAGUUAUUUCAAAAUAAAUUUCUUUUUGAUUUUAUCGUCAGUAAAUGUUUGAUAUGUAUACCUCCUCAAGGUACCGUUUGACUCAAGGUUGCCCAGAAUUUACCUAGCGAAAAGGAUUAGCAGGUAGAAAAAGUUUGAGAGACACUGAUGAGAAGCUUUUCACUUUGACCAAUCAUUUCUCUCUGAUUCCUUAUUGUGGGUAAUAAUUUUUUAUACCGAAGUUUGCUGUUCAAAUUACUUUUUAUUUCUCAUCUGAGUGAAGCCAGGCCGACAGUAGACAUCGAGAAGUGUCUUUUCUGUUGGAGCAUGAUGUGCAGGAGGGAGCAAGAGCCGCGUAAAGCAAUGAAGGGGAAGGGGAUCCCAGUACCCGGGGAGAUGGAACAGCACCAGAUGGGAAGGCUUCCUGGAAGAAACGAUGUUUAAGCAGAGAUCUUAAUGUCAAGAACAAGUUGGCUGUUGCACGCACCAUAAAGUGAAUUCAAGUGAAUGUAAAAGCUUCAAUUUCAGAAAAUGUUGGCAAAGGAAGCGGGAUGGUCUGUGAAUGAGAUAGGCAAGUUUACAUAGAUAUUGAAGAAACUUCAGGGAGAAAAGAACAUUCUUCAUUCUUCAUUGAAGUGUUACAUGAAUUGAACCUCUAAAGACCACUCUUAUUGUGAGUAAUUAAGGCCCUUCUCCCUGCUAGGUUCAGAGAUACCAGCAAAGUUUGCUUGUGUGAUGGGAAAGGGCCAUCUUGUUUUUACUUUGCUUAAGGAGUUGACCAGUGAGCCAGGCUCACAUGCAGAUCAAGAAAUAUCUU